UCGGGAAUUUUGGGCAAUGGGCGAAAGCCUGACGGAGCGACACCGCGUGCAGGACGAAGGCCCUCGGGUUGUAAACUGCUGUCACGCUCUGGGCUAAUACCCUGGGGUAAUGACGGUACCUGAAGAAUAAGCACCGGCUAACUACGUGCCAGCAGCCGCGGUAAUACGUAGGGUGCAAGCGUUAAUCGGAAUUACUGGGCGUAAAGCGUGCGCAGGCGGUUAUGCAAGACAGAUGUGAAAUCCCCGGGCUCAACCUGGGAACUGCAUUUGUGACUGUAUAGCUAGAGUACGGUAGAGGGGGAUGGAAUUCCGCGUGUAGCAGUGAAAUGCGUAGAUAUGCGGAGGAACACCGAUGGCGAAGGCAAUCCCCUGGACCUGUACUGACGCUCAUGCACGAAAGCGUGGGGAGCAAACAGGAUUAGAUACCCACGUAGUCCCUGAGCGGGCUGGCAAGGCGCAU
rnacentral:rRNA from 1 species